AUUGAACGCUGGCGGCAGGCCUAACACAUGCAAGUCGAACGGUAACAGGAAGCAGCUUGCUGCUUUGCUGACGAGUGGCGGACGGGUGAGUAAUGUCUGGGAAACUGCCUGAUGGAGGGGGAUAACUACUGGAAACGGUAGCUAAUACCGCAUAACGUCGCAAGACCAAAGAGGGGGACCUUCGGGCCUCUUGCCAUCGGAUGUGCCCAGAUGGGAUUAGCUAGUAGGUGGGGUAACGGCUCACCUAGGCGACGAUCCCUAGCUGGUCUGAGAGGAUGACCAGCCACACUGGAACUGAGACACGGUCCAGACUCCUACGGGAGGCAGCAGUGGGGAAUAUUGCACAAUGGGCGCAAGCCUGAUGCAGCCAUGCCGCGUGUAUGAAGAAGGCCUUCGGGUUGUAAAGUACUUUCAGCGGGGAGGAAGGGAGUAAAGUUAAUACCUUUGCUCAUUGACGUUACCCGCAGAAGAAGCACCGGCCAACUCCGUG
rnacentral:rRNA from 1 species